rnacentral:rRNA from 1 species
GACGAACGCUGGCGGCGUGCUUAAUACAUGCAAGUCGAGCGGAGCGGCGAACGGGUGAGUAACGCGUGAGUAACUGCCCCCCUCUCAGGGAUAACAGCUGGAAACGGCUGCUAAUACAGGAUAGUGGGGGAUGACUCGCGUCGAAUCAGCUUGUGGGUGUGGUAGUGGCUUACCAAAGCGAAGACGGGUAGCCGGCCUGAGAGGGCGACCGGCCACAUUGGGCGAAAAUACGUCGCAAACGCCUACGGGAGGCAGCAGUGGGGAAUAUUGCACAAUGGGGGAGACCCUGAUGCAGCAACGCCGGGUGCGGAAUGACGGCCUUCGAGUUGUAAACCGCUAUCAGCCAUGACGCGGUAGUUACAGAAGAAGCACCGGCUAACUACGUGCCAGCAGCCGCGGUAAUUC